GAAAUGCGAUAAGUAAUGUGAAUUGCAGAAUUCAGUGAAUCAUCGAAUCUUUGAACGCAUCUUGCGCUCCUUGGUAUUCCUUGGGGCAUGCCUGUUUGAGUAUCAUGAAAUCUUCAAAGUAAAUCUUUUGUUAACUCAAUUGGUUUCUACUUUGGUAUUGGAGGUCUUUGCAGCUUCACACCUGCUCCUCUUUGUUCAUUAGCUGGAUCUCAGUGUUAUGCUUGGUUCCACUCGGCGUGAUAAGUUAUCUAUCGCUGAGGACACUGUAAAAGGUGGCCAAGGUAAAUGCAGAUGAACCGCUUCUAAUAGUCCAUUGACUUGGACAAUACUUUUAUGAUCUGAUCUCAAAUCAGGUAGGACUACCCGCUGAACUUAAGC
rnacentral:misc_RNA from 1 species